rnacentral:rRNA from 13 species
GCCGAAUGAACUAGCCCUGAAAAUGGAUGGCGCUAAAGCGUGCGACUUAUACUCAGCCAUCAGCGCGAGACGUAUGUGCUGAUGAGUAGGAGGGCGUGAUGCUCGUAUCGAAGCCUUGGGCGUGAGCCUGGGUGAAACGUGCAUUAGUGCAGAUCUUGGUGGUAGUAGCAACUAUUCAAAUGAGAACUUUGAAGACUGAAGUGGGGAAAGGUUCCACGUGAACAGCAAUUGGACGUGGGUUAGUCGAUCCUAAGAGAUAGGAGAAAUCCGUUUCAAAGUGGGCGUUCUUCGGUUCGCCCCGCCUAUCGAAAGGGAAUUGGGUUAAUAUUCCCAAACCAGGACGUGGAUAUUGAGUGGCAACACAAGCAAAACCGGGGAAGGCGGCGAGGGCUCCGAGGAGAGUUAUCUUUUC